AUUUCCUAACUGCUUGUUGUGGUGCUGAAUUUUGGCUUAUUUCUGCAGAACCUAAUGGAACUGUAAUCUUGAUUUUCUUCUUCUUCUUAUGUUCCGGGGCAACUUGCUUUGGUAACUUGAUCAAAAGUCGUGACUCGGCAUAAUUUUCAGAAUCCGAGGGAACCUUAGGCACAGCAAAAGGCUGAGGGGUCCCAUUGACUGAGGAGCUGGGAGAGAUAAGUUGCAUA
rnacentral:misc_RNA from 1 species